rnacentral:rRNA from 1 species
UACGAAGGGGGCUAGCGUUGUUCGGAAUCACUGGGCGUAAAGGGCGCGUAGGCGGCUUUAUAAGUCGGGGGUGAAAGCCUGUGGCUCAACCACAGAAUUGCCUUCGAUACUGUAGAGCUUGAGACCGGAAGAGGUUAGUGGAACUGCGAGUGUAGAGGUGAAAUUCGUAGAUAUUCGCAAGAACACCAGUGGCGAAGGCGGCUCACUGGCCCGGUACUGACGCUGAGGCGCGAAAGCGUGGGGAGCAAACAGG